rnacentral:lncRNA from 1 species
CGUGUGGCAUCCGGAGUGGUCUCAGGUUGGCGAAAUCCCUCUUCCUCCCGCACCCCGCGUAGCAGGUAAUCCGCUUCCGACGUCAUUCCUGCACACACGCACACGCACGCACAUUGGACGAAUCCAAAAUUCAGAUUGUGUCGGAAGGUUAAGGGGUCGAUCGACGAGUUCAGCUUCAGCUCCGACCGUCCAGGAGCCUCUCCGACCCCGACUCCCGCCGGCGCCAAACCCUCGGCCUGCUCCAACUUGCUAUAUACACAUAUAAAUAAAAUUGGGCCGACUCCGAGUCUCCGACUCGCAGGGGGGAUCGAUCGAGGAGAGGAGCGUACCGUCGUAUCCGGUUGGCUAGCGCGCCGCCUGGCGCUCGCCCUCGCCCUCGCUCGCCGGCACCACCGGCGAAUUUGGGAAGCUGCCGCCGCAGAGGAAGAGGAACGGGGGGUCACCAAGAAAAAGNNNN